rnacentral:lncRNA from 1 species
AAAGAGCAGGGCUCCUGGAUAGCAGAUGCCAGGUACUUCAGGGGUUCAAAGGGGUCUUUCGAGAGAGAGAGCUUUUAUGAGGGAGAAUUUUCUGUGAGAGAGAAUUGGGUGUACAAGGGUUGAGGAUGAGGUCUCCUCUUAUAAAUUUUUUUUUCAUAGUGAAGUUUGCAUACCCCGUGGAGGUGAGCCUUUUUGUGGCAGAUCGAUGUAUUUUGACUGUUUUUUGUUUUGUUUCUUCUUUUUUCUUGUUGCACGCGUGGUACUGAAAAGAUCUUGGGAGGUAGUGUCCUGGCCAGACAUUCACCCAACAAGUGGUAUCAGAGCGAGACGGUACAAGGACGCAGAUUGCAGC